rnacentral:rRNA from 1 species
CAGUCGCCGCGGGAAUACGAAGGGUGCAAGCGUUAAUCGGAAUUACUGGGCGUAAAGCGCACGCAGGCGGUUUGUUAAGUCAGAUGUGAAAUCCCCGCGCUUAACUUGGGAACUGCAUUUGAAACUGGCAAGCUAGAGUCUUGUAGAGGGGGGUAGAAUUCCAGGUGUAGCGGUGAAAUGCGUAGAGAUCUGGAGGAACACCGAUGGCGAAGGCAGCCCCCUGGGCCAACACUGACGCUCAUGCACGAAAGCGUGGGGAGCAAACAGGAUUAGAUACCCCUGUAGUCCCUGUCUCUUAUAC